rnacentral:rRNA from 1 species
GAUGAACGCUAGCGGGAGGCUUAACACAUGCAAGUCGAGGGGCAGCGGAGAUUGCUUGCAAUCAGACGGCGACCGGCGCACGGGUGCGUAACGCGUAUACAAUCUGCCCUAUACUGGAGAAUAGCCCAGAGAAAUUUGGAUUAAUGCUCCAUAGUCUUUCCGAAUCGCAUGAUUUGGUUUGUAAAGCUCCGGCGGUAUAGGAUGAGUAUGCGUCCCAUUAGCUAGUUGGUAAGGUAAAGGCUUACCAAGGCUACGAUGGGUAGGGGUUCUGAGAGGAUGAUCCCCCACACUGGUACUGAGACACGGACCAGACUCCUACGGGAGGCAGCAGUGAGGAAUAUUGGUCAAUGGGCGCAAGCCUGAACCAGCCAUCCCGCGUGAAGGAUGACGGCUCUAUGAGUUGUAAACUUCUUUUAUAUACCAAGAAAUGCAGAUACGUGUAUUUGUUUGACGGUAGUAUAUGAAUAAGCACCGGCUAACUCCG